rnacentral:sRNA from 1 species
GCUACUCAGAAGACUGUUGAUGGGCCUUCAAUGAAGGACUGGAGAGGUGGAAGAGCUGCUUCAUUCAACAUUAUUCCCAGCAGCACUGGAGCUGCCAAGGCUGUCGGAAAGGUGCUUCCAGCUCUUAACGGAAAGUUGACUGGAAUGUCUUUCCGUGUCCCAACCGUUGAUGUCUCAGUUGUUGACCUUACUGUCAGACUCGAGAAAGCUGCUACCUACGAUGAAAUCAAAAAGGCUAUCAAGUAAGCUUUUGAGCAAUGACAGAUUAAGUUU